UCAGUGCUCUAGUGGGUGGGGCAGACCUCUGAGCUCACAGACCAGGGAAAGAACUCCAAAGGCAUCUGCCAGUGUCUGUGUCACCACACCUGUACUAGGUCACAAUAAUGGCUGAAGACAAUGUCUCACUCCCUGGGGAGGUAGUCCCUGCCUGGCAGAGAGGUCUCACCUCUCACCAAGAUGUGCCCAGAGCCUAUGAAAAGCAACCAUUUACUGAGCAUCUGCUUUGAGCUGAACAUUAUUCUAAAUAAUAUGUAAGAACUUUUUAAAUCCUACAAGAAACUUAGGAAAAGGUGAAAAAGCACAUCUGCUAUGUGACCGUAAUUCCAUGAAGUGUUCUGCGCUAACUCUUGAGGAGGUUAUGACAUCACAGGAGGCCACCAGAGAAGAUGGAGAUCAAGAUAAACAAAGAGAAGCUCUCCAUCGUGGUGCAGAAGAGGGCAGUGAUGGUGUGUAUCUUUACCUUAUUCCUGAACUUUACUGGAAACCUUCCUCCAACCAUCGGGAUUUUAUUAUUACAAGCUACAAAAACCAUUUCUGGCUUCUUAAGGAGAAUGUAAACUCCACAGGGCAGAGAUUUUCAUCUGUUUUGUUCACUAAUGUUUGAGUUAACUCUGAACAAUGAGUGGCACAUAGAAGACACUCAAUAAAGGUUGUUUAGUGAAAAUGGGAACAAAAAGCAAGAGCAGAGGUUGAUAUCAAAAAAUAAGUUAAUCUGAGAGUGGGUGUUUGUGUGUCGUUCUUCGUUAGUUUGGAAGUGAGCAACCUAAAAUGACAUGUGAUGAAAGUUGCAGACCCCCUCAGUUAUAUUAAAAAAGCCCUUGAAGAGGGUGGGAUUUCGUUAAGCCUAAGUAACUAAACUACAAUGCACAAUCUCUAUUCACCCAAGAACUUGGGAGAGGGACAUUCACUCUUCACUUCACACAUAUUCCAUGUUAACACACCGAUUGCCCUGCCCUUACCACCCACAGACCGUGACUUCAAGGGAAGGAACUUGACUGGGAUUUCUAACCAUGCCGAGUCAGCAAUGUGUUUGCAUUGACUUUUCUUGUGCUACUCAUGAGUAGUCUUGAAUAUCAGAACCACCCGGAUCCAGUAGCAAGACACCUGCCCCCCACACCCACCAAUUUCAGAGUGAAGCUAUUGGUUACCAACACGUUGAUUCUGAAGAAAAUAUCAUAUCCUCCUUUUUCAGGGCUUUCCAUGAAAAAUGGUUUAAGGUGUUUCUUUUAGAUAUAUUAAAAAGCUGAGUGCUUACAACUGCUGGCACAUUUCCUGACACCUAAGAGGUGCUCAAACUGAUGAAUAAGUGGCUGUGUUUCUUCUUCUAUCUGGCUUUUUGGUUGGUUUGUAGAACUGUGGUAGUUGAGGGGACAUAGGGAAAAUAGAAAUGGGUGUGAAGAUGAUUUAUAGAGGAGUGGAAACUACAAACCAUGUGAUCUAAACAGAUAAAAAAGAAAAUGAACUUUUAUACCGUUCUCAUGUUAUUAGGAAAUAAUAUCUUGUGUAUAUAAUCACACAAAAAGGGGCACAAAUUCAGUUACUGUUUAUAUAGGUACUUUUCUAUUAAAUUUUUUGCAGAGUAGUAUUUACCUAUCAAACAAGAUGCUCUGAAUCCCAAGAAACUUAGUAGAUAAUUUGAGAUACACCAUCAAGAAGCAGUUCAGUGUGAAAUAUCAUAGAUUCCUCCAGAGACCACUUCAACUAAUCUUUUAGUUUUCUUCACUACAUUGAAGAGCAAAGAUAUACAAACAGAAACAUAUUUGCGUUUAAGUCAUCCAAAUAUUAACCCAAUGAAAUAUACAUAUGUAUGCCCAUA